UAGGGAAUCUUCCGCAAUGGGCGAAAGCCUGACGGAGCAACGCCGCGUGAGUGAUGAAGGUCUUCGGAUCGUAAAACUCUGUUAUUAGGGAAGAACAAAUGUGUAAGUAACUAUGCACGUCUUGACGGUACCUAAUCAGAAAGCCACGGCUAACUACGUGCCAGCAGCCGCGGAAUACGUAGGUGGCAAGCGUUAUCCGGAAUUAUUGGGCGUAAAGCGCGCGUAGGCGGUUUUUUAAGUCUGAUGUGAAAGCCCACGGCUCAACCGUGGAGGGUCAUUGGAAACUGGAAAACUUGAGUGCAGAAGAGGAAAGUGGAAUUCCAUGUGUAGCGGUGAAAUGCGCAGAGAUAUGGAGGAACACCAGUGGCGAAGGCGACUUUCUGGUCUGUAACUGACGCUGAUGUGCGAAAGCGUGGGGAUCAAACAGG
rnacentral:rRNA from 1 species